rnacentral:lncRNA from 1 species
CACACUUGGGUCAGAAGACUGCAAGCCUGGUUUUCUUUACAUUUACCAUCUAGUCUCUCUAUUCACUAAAUUUCUUUCUCCAGCUUUUUCAGCUCUUUACUUACUGUAGCCAAGCCUUUUUCUAAGACCCAGUAGAACAGGACAUCAAACCUUUUUGGCACAGGAAGUUUAAGAGAGUUUAGAAAAAGUACAAAAGGAAGAAAAUUAGACCCGUGACCUUCACUGAGCCUAUUGUUCUCCAAGAGCGCAACCACUGGGGUAUCCACACUCUACCACACCUUUUGUGCUUCGAGACAUUAAGAUCAAGAAGUGAAUAUGUAUUUUCAAAAUCGAGUAUCAAACUACAGAAGUGUUUACCUCAGCCCUGCCCUGAUGCUGCACAUUUAAAGACCUACUCCAAAGAGAAGCUUCAAAUUGUUCCAAUGUGCUAUUUAGAAAAAUAAUUUAUAUUAAGGUAUAUAAUAAAAUAUGCUAUAAAUCACAGUUUGUAGAAGAAACAUUUGUCCUGUAUUUUCAUAUGUAUUAUCUCCCUAAACACCUUCUUAACAUGAUAAUUAAACACUUGCUGAGUAUCAAUACUUUUGCAUUCUUAUCUAUACUGAUCAACAAAAUUGGUAGUUUGGUAAUAGGGGAAGAAACUCAUUUAACAUGAAACUGUUAAAAUAUUAGAAAGGUAAGUUUCAUAGAGUAGACAGUAAUAGGAAAUAUUUAUGGUGAAUGUAAUAUAAAUUUGACAUUUGUAAGCACUUUGCAUGGGAUAUUAUAGCCACUUACCGAUUAGGAAAGUGAGGCUCAGAAAAGCUACAUAAACUGAUGAAUGAAACAGAGCAGACAAGGAAUACAUUUUGAAUCUGUGCAGG